rnacentral:rRNA from 1 species
AGUGAACGCUGGCGGUAUGCCUAACACAUGCAAGUCGAACGGCAGCACAGUAAGAGCUUGCUCUUACGGGUGGCGAGUGGCGGACGGGUGAGGAAUACAUCGGAAUCUACUUUUUCGUGGGGGAUAACGUAGGGAAACUUACGCUAAUACCGCAUACGACCUACGGGUGAAAGCAGGGGAUCUUCGGACCUUGCGCGAUUGAAUGAGCCGAUGUCGGAUUAGCUAGUUGGCGGGGUAAAGGCCCACCAAGGCGACGAUCCGUAGCUGGUCUGAGAGGAUGAUCAGCCACACUGGAACUGAGACACGGUCCAGACUCCUACGGGAGGCAGCAGUGGGGAAUAUUCGACAAUGGGCGAAAGCCUGAUCCAGCCAUACCGCGUGAGUGAAGAAGGCCUUCGGGUUGUAAAGCCCUUUUGUUGGGAAAGAAAAGCAGCAGGUUAAUACCCCGCUGUUCUGACGGUACCCAAAGAAUAAGCACCGGCUAACUUCGUG